rnacentral:lncRNA from 1 species
GACAUCAAAGAAACCGGAAUUACAAUACUCUAAUAAAACAAAAGAUGAGGCUUACAAAACAAGGCGGAAACAAAUAUACGACAGAGAUUUCGCUCGAUAUUUUUGUGGUAAGGUUCGCACGGGCUCGAUCGUACAUUGGAUUGUCAUAUUGAAAUGAUGCCCGAAUACGCUCCCUAGGCGUGGAGAACUACAAGGCUUGAUGGAGCAUAUCUGACAAUACAUAUUGAGAUUGUCUAUUGUAAGAAAGACCGAGUAUUGAAGCACUUUCGAAAAUCCCCCGUCUUGAUAUACUAAGGAAACUGAACAAUAGCAAUGUGUCAAGAACUCUUUGUAGCUCAACUCCCCGGAAGAAAUCAAGUUAGACAGGAGGCACCAAGCCAGAAUUCCAUCACAUUGACAUUAUAGAGGCUCCAAAAUACCCGUGUGAUCCUAAAAAAAUUGCAUGAGAAAAGGAUUAGAACUAAAAUUCUUACGUCAAGAUUUCUCACUAGAGCAUAGAAGAGGAGUAAAAAGAGUCCUACUAUCCGAUAUAUAACUAGACUCAAAGUAGUUUUUCACUAGACUCGACUCGACCAAGUUCGAUCAAUCAAGUGGCUCCUAGGUCGGUACUGCUCUGAUACCAACUUGUAACACCCAAAAUGCGAUCUUAUCCUUGUUGUGGCAAGAGGCCCUCGACAGGGAUAGAAGUGCAUCUUGUUGUUUGGCAAGAAUGCAUAUCGUUACAAGUACAUGUACAGAAGAGAUGAGUAUAUGGAAUUGGGUUACACUUUCCACAUGGUACAACAUGAACACAUCAAUACAACAAUACAUUCAAACACCAUGUAGAAGAGAAAGGUACGACUACAAAUGAAAUCAAUUGAUAAAAGAACAACGUCCAUCCUUUCUAUGCCAUGCUGCCAGCCUGGAACCCAUCCUAUGAUCGAUGAAGAAGAAGAAGAAGAAACUCCAAAUAGAACAACCACCGCGCUCACGUCAAAGUGUCGCUUUACUUCUACUUUCAACUAUUGUUGUAGAAAUAUGUGAGCCAUAUGGACUCAACAAUCUCAUUUCUAAAGGUAUCAAGACUAGCAAAGCUUAAUGGGUGAGGUAUGGUUAAGUGGAGAGGCUCCAGCAAGCAACUAAGCAUUUAUUUGAGUGGAUAACUUACGAAUACAAGAAUUAAAGAAGAGAUCUACGCACAAAUGGACGUGAACUAAUAAUUAUCUUGAAGUGAUCCUGAACACCUACUUAGAUCAGACAUAACCCCACCAUGUCUUGUUCCGGAUGCAUAACUCACAAGAAGAGACAGUCAUGGUUACACGCAUAGUUGGAAUAUUUUAAUUAAGUUUACUUCAAGUUUGCGAUGACCAGGUGUUAAACAAAGUUUCCAAGUUGCCACAUAACCGAGGGCAUGGCUCUCAGAAAGAUUUUACCCUGCAGGGGUGCUCCAACUAGUCCAUCACAAACUACCACAAGCUUCGUUGAAAACCUCGACCACGAAAAUGCCCGUGAUCUCCUCGGGUUCCUGGUGGAAAACCUCAACCUCGAGAUAGCCCAAAGUAUCCUCAGAAUCCCUCGCGCAAGAUGCUCGAGAAAGGUAAAACAAAUCCAGCAAGUCCACCUAACGUGUCGACAAACCUGAUAAGAGCCACAUAUCUCAUUCUCAGUACAUGAUCAGAUAAGCUAGUGUAUGGUGGCCUGAUAGAAAUCACCCAAGCUGCCCUUGGUUGGCCCCGCACAGUACUCUCGGUUGGACCAAUGCUCAUAGGAGGAGUGGCUCGGGGGUUGAUUAAUUAUCCGUGGUUGCCGGCGGGUCUCUAUGCUUUUUAUUAGUUAUUAGGCAAAUGCAGUACCAAUGUUGGGCCUUGCCGGAAGAGUUUUAUCCCAAAACAAAAACCAAGGGGGUCCCCAUAGCAACCCCAAGCAUGUUAGGAGCGUUCAAUUAUGGAACAUAACACUGGUACACAAGUAACUAGGACGACAAAGGUGGAACAAAACACCGAGUUAGAAGGCCAAGCCUUCCGCCUUUUACCAAGUAUAUAUAGGUGCAUUAAAUUAAACAACAAUAAUAUGGUGAUAUAACAAGGAAUCCAUGUUUUCACAUGGAAGCAACUGCACCUGCAACUAGCAACACUAUAAAAAGGUUAGCAAGCGGUAGCAUAGGCAAACAGAGGUUUGCUGGUAUAUGGAGGGAGUUUGAGGCUUUUCAUGGCAAUGUUGGGAGGCUUGACAUAACAGGUGAUAGGCAGUGAGACAUAGCGAUAGAAACGAGACAACUAGCAUGGUAUCUAGGGAAAUGAUCCUCUUUGAUGUGAUCCCGCUUGGAAGAAAAACGAAUCCGUGAAGUAGACGAACCAACAUAGUUGAACGAAUCCUCACACUCCAAAGCGGUUCGGAACUCUAUCGAGAAGAAACAAUCCGGAAAUAACAAUAAACACACGAUAAACACCACAAUAUAUGCAUGACAUGAUGCAUAAUCAAAUAUGAUGCAUGUCCAUUUAAUUAUGCACGACAAGACAAAGCACAACAAUUUAUCACUACACAUUAAAUGAAGCUCAAUAUGCAUCAAGUUCCUUAUUGACGAAACACCAUAUUUGAAUAACUUAGUUCACUCCCGUUUUGGUACAUGACAAUAGUAAACGUUGUUCAACAUGGCAAGAGGUGAAGCACAAUAAACUAUAUAUCUAGGCAUUUCAUAUGGUGCCAGAAACAACAUAUAGCAUCUCCAAAAUAACCCCAUAUGUUAAUUUCACAAUUGGCCCAGAUCUGAAAAAUACACAUUUUAUAUUUAUUAAACAGCAAAAUAAAGUGGAUCAUGUGAUUCUACAUGUCAUUUUAGUCGAUUUACAUGUAUAAAUCAUUUAAACGGAGCUACGGUUUAAAAGAUAUGAGCAACACAAGAUGAUAUGCCAUGAAUGCAAAAUGUAUGCAAAUAAUGGCCACAAGCAUGUUAAAACAUGGAUGAACAAGAUAUUAUGAAACUACAUGAAAUUCUAGCCAAGUUUAAAUAAGGCCGGAAUAACAAUUCCGGAAAGUCCCAUAUGCAAAUUAAGAUUCGGUACCGUUCCGCCUAUAACACAAUUUUAGAUUUGUUAAACACCGAAAUAAAUGUCACCAUAUUAUUUCACACAUUUUUCAAGUCAAGGUACAUAUGUGGAAUAUUUUAGUUGGAUCUACGGUUAAUUAGGUAUGAAUUAAACAACUUUUACAUAGCAUCUAUCCAAAUUUAAUUAAAUAGCAAGUUUAAACAUUUUAACCAUGGUCAAAAGUUGUAUAUUGUGAUUCUACACAAAAUUCUAAGUAUUGUUCAUGUAUAAGGUUUUUAUAUCCGAUACACGGUUAUUUUGCUAUGAAUUAAAUCAUUUAAAUAUGGCAUCACGCAAAACAGUGCAAACACCAAGUUUAACUAUUUUAACAUGUGUGAAAGUGUAAUAUUCUUAAUGUACACAAAAUUCUGAACAUCUUGCAUAUAUAAAGUGUUUACAUAUGAUGCACAGUUAAUUAGUUAUUAGUAUUUUGAAAUGAUGUAUUUUUCUACAAAUAUGCAUGCGCUGGAAAAGGCCAAAAUCUACACAUCCGAGAAAAGAAAACAUGCUUAGGCCUCAAGCAUCAUAGUGCAGCAGCUUAGGAAUAGAUCAGGCCCAAGUGACAGGAGUGUGGUGUGCAAAAUAAACAUGGCACUGGGCAAAAAUGGGGCCAGCCCUGGACCCGAACUUGGGACAUCCAGCUUGCUAGCUCGCUUGCCUCACCAGAUUGGCUACGAUAUGCUCCUUACCAGAAGUAGUGCCAACCCUAAAUAACAUGGACUGUGAGAACGGAUCUAGAAUACUUUCAGUUAGGCCUCGUUUGGUUAAGGGGGACUGGAGAGGAUUUGAGAGAAAAAUCAUCAGGGGUCCAGAAACCCCACAUAUUCUCGCGCGCCCAUUUGGUAGGAGGGGUUUGCUUAACCCAAUCCCCUCCGUUCCCCCUCACAUCAUCAGGGUACAGAGGCAAGCGGCGCGAUGCGCCGGCGAUGACGGAGAUCUCGGAGGCCGGGAAUGGAUACACGGGAGUGCUCGGGUGCAAAUCCGGCUGGGAGGGGCUCGGACGGCUGCUGCGGUGCUCGAACGGAGGUGGCGAGCAUUCUUGCUGUAGAGAGCGAGAGAGACAUGAUAGCAGGAGAGGAAGUAGGAACAAGGGCGUGGGGAUAGCACGGACCCCUACUGGUCGCCGGUGGUGCACGAGCUGCGGUGCGAGGUGGGGAGGAGAGGACCGACGGGCAGGUCAGGGUUGAUGGGGCACCUGGUCGUGGCGCGAGGCCUCGAAGUAGAGGCGCCAUGGGUGUUCCUGUCAACAAAGAGAGAAAGAGAGGUGAGGGACAGGGAAGAAAGAGGUGAGAGCAAGAGGAGAAGGUUCAUGGGGCGUGACACGCAUCACCAGUGGAACUCCGGUGCUUGUGGCCGCCGGCGGGGCUUGACAUGUCAACCAGGAAACCCUUGGCUGUGGCUGGAUGCAGAAGACGCGGCCACGCGGGUGUGCGACCGGAUGAGUGGACGGGACGUCUC